GGUGGGCUGUAGCUCAGAGGCAGAGCAUCUGCUUGACAUACAGAAGGUCCGAGGUUCAAUUCCCAAUGACAUCUCCA